rnacentral:lncRNA from 1 species
CUUUUUAGGGCCGCACCCACGGCAUAUGGAGGUUCCCAGGCUAGGGGUUGAAUCAGAGCUGCAGCUGCCAGCCUACACCACAGCCACAGCAAUGUGGGAUCCAAGCCUCAUCUGUGACCUACACCACAGCUCAUGGCAACGCUGGAUCCUUAACCCACUGAGCAAGGCCAGAGAUGAAACCUGCAUCCUCAUGGAUGCUAGUCAGAUUCGUUUCCACUGAGCCAUGACAGAACUCCCAAAACUCCCCUCUUACGACCAGGAAGUCCAGGCAUUUCUGUGAUGUGGAGCUGGUGGAGGGAAACUUGGGAGCUCUGUCUAGGCCAGGCAUCCCUACUUUGCUUCCCAAGCCACCAACAGCCUCUUGGGACCAGCCAGGCAAGGUCUCAACUCAGAGGAACCCCAAAGUUCAAGAGGCCGCCCUGUCUUCCUACCACCCUCUCUGCAUGAGGCCCCAAAUAUAGAGCAAGGACAUCCUUGCUGGCCCUCUCAAGCCUCGAGUGACAAGGAUGGCCUCGCCCCACAGAAAAUGCACCUUGUCAGUGAAGCACGAUCUCUCCCCAACCAUGCACAGCGAGUCAUGGUCAGGAACAAAAGAAAUGAUCAGAAGGAGCCACAUUCAAGGACUUAUAAGUUAUAAGGUGGGUCCAUCAUUCUGGGCCUCAGCUACCUGCCCAUGAAAUGGACCUGAGAAUAUUAAUACCCCUCUUCUUGCCAGACGGUCAGGAGCUGAACUGGAUGCUCUUCUCCUAUCCUUUCCAGAUCAAAGAUCUUGGCUAUAGGAACAAUCUCAGCAGCAACAAGAACAGCCAAGUGACCCAGAAUCAGACACUUCCUGCCCUGAGCCUGGCUGGCUGCCCCCAGGGAGGCCCCAAGUGGAGUCAUCGACUCACACCUGCCACUGGGUGCCUAGAAAACCCCUGGACCUUUUCACUGCAAACACCUGGAAAUUUACCUGCCAAAUCUAAAGGAGGAAAAGGGGGAGGACUGGCCAGGCCCUCCCCCCACCAGCCCCCCAACCCCUCAACCCUCUGGUCUCCAGAUCUGGCUCAUGCCUGCCCCAGGUUCAUGAAUCUUGCAGAGAACACACAGCAUCGAUGCAAAGGGACAAUUCCCCAGUGGGCACUUUGGGGCUGCGGCUACCUCAUCAUCCCCUCUGCCUCCUUCCAGCUAACUCAGCAGGCUCUGUCUCUCCCUGGCCAAGCCCAGUGUGGAGAGGUAAAGAUUUCUAGGAGCCUAGAGCAGGCUGAUUCCUCCCUGGGUCUCAGGGAUCAGGGGCACUUCUACAACCCACUGAGCACAUCAUGGGUCAUUACCUUGUGCCAGGUUGGGCACAGGGGUAAAGAAAAGAGGCACUUCUGCUGUGGCAUAAUAGGAUCAGCAGGAUUUCUGGAGCGCUGGGACACAGGUUUGACUCCCGGCUGGCACAGUGGGUUAAGGAUCCCGGCUGUAGCUCAGAUCUGAUCCCUGGCCCGGGAACUCCAUAUGCGGUGGGAAAGAAAGAAAAGAAAAGGCCAUGGUCCCCACCCUCAAGGAGCUCCCUAGUUACUGAAGUGAGGCACAGAAAUUGAUGCAGUGAUACCACUGCCCUCAGCAGGCGAGCAGGGGCAAAGGGGAGUCCUGUCUGAGCCCUUUCCUCAGCAUCAGCCCCUUCUAGGUUCCCUUAACCCAUAGGAAAACCCCGACUGGAGAACCAGCGAAUGUUCCCCCAUCCCCAGCCCUGCCGCCAUUCCCAGCAAAGCUCUCUCUGCCUCCCUUUCCCCAAGGGCUGCUUCUCCUUGGAAGGUGGGUCCCCUCUGGGGGUGCUGGAGGACCAGGGAAGGGGAGGAGGAUCCAGGGGCAAAGACAGGCAGUGGCAUGUGAAGACCUGCUCCUGCACAAUAAGGUCUUGUGUGUGGGCCCGGCCACCUCACUUCACGUGGUGUUUGCACGUCCCCAGCCCUUUGCUCCUGCCUGGACUAUUCCUGCCAUGAUAAAGAUGCCAAUUAAGAUAAACUUGGCACUGACAAAAGGGGGGGGGGACAGAAAAAAAAAAGAAAAAGAAAAAGGUGGCUCUGCUUUGGCAAUACCCGAACCUGGGCCCACUUUCCGGGUUCCGCCUCACUGCCAGCUUUGCCCCAAUGGUUAACCAACCCUUAGUAGCACAUCGCAGAUAUUCAGAAAGCUCAGUCCACCGCAGGAAGAUCGCCAUCCAUCAGACAACUUCCAAUUCACGGAGCAACGAGUUCCAAUUCACGGAACACCUAUAAUGUCCAGGACACCGUGCUGGGCUGUGGGGAGGGAGGUGUGGAGGAGAGAAGGCUAUAGAACUGAAUAGCACCCAGAGCCUACCACGAAAACCUAGGGUGCCUUGGUGAAGAAAUGACCAGAAAUGAUAGUAUGAUCAAGUUUUAUCCACACUUCUUUUGGAUGGGAGUUCAGAAGGAGGCAUCUUAUUUCCAAUGGGAAGCCAGGGGGACAAUACACCCAGAAAGGCUAGAGAAGGAGAUGGGGUUUGUGCCCGGGCUGGAAAGCUUUGGACCCAUUUCGAUGAGCAGAGACGUUGUGACGCACGAAGGAAGGAACGAGAGUUUAAUGCAACAGCAUCAAACUGAGCUGUGACGGGCCGGAUGACGGGCUAGAGGUUAUAACAAAGACCUGACAAAGAUGAUCCCUACUCCCGAGGGGUGCUAAGUAAGGGAAGAGGUAGAAACGUAGCUGGAAUCUAAGAUCCUAGAUAGCGCUGAACCCCAAGAUAAGAAUUCUCUAGUUUAUUCUUGAAAAGCGGUAAUAGCCACUUCGUGUUUUUGAGCAGGGCAGCAACACAGCCAGAGCUCUGCUUCGGGAGGAUGUGGUGACAAGCCACCGUUGGGGGCACUGCAGGAAGGCUGGUUAGGAGACCGGGAUGACCAUCUGGUUAAGUGAGAGGGAGAAGAUGGGCCAGGGAGGCCAAGGGCAGGUUAGGCCACAGACAAAACCACAGUCCAGAGAAGAGGGGGGAGCCUCUGGCAGAACGUGAAGACACAGAGAAGAUUAGAGAGGGACAAGGCUGAACUCGGCCCGACAUACACCAAGUUCUGGUUUCUGGCAGGACCGGUGUACCCAGCAGGCAGUUAGAAAGGCAUGUGUGCAAUACAAGGAAGAC